rnacentral:rRNA from 1 species
GAUCAUGGCUCAGGAUGAACGCUAGCUACAGGCUUAACACAUGCAAGUCGAGGGGCAUCAGUUUGGUUUGCUUGCAAACCAAAGCUGGCGACCGGCGCACGGGUGAGUAACGCGUAUCCAGCCUGCCUACCACUUGGGGAUAACCUUGCGAAAGUAAGACUAAUACCCAAUGACAUCCCACGAAGACAUCUGAAUGGGAUUAAAGAUUUAUCGGUGAUGGAUGGGGAUGCGU